rnacentral:rRNA from 1 species
GCGAACGCUGGCGGCAGGCCUAACACAUGCAAGUCGAACGAACCUUUCGGGGUUAGUGGCGGACGGGUGAGUCACACGUGGGAACGUGCCUUUAGGUUCGGAAUAACUCAGGGAAACUUGUGCUAAUACCGAAUGUGCCCUUCGGGGGAAAGAUUUAUCGCCUUUAGAGCGGCCCGCGUCUGAUUAGCUAGUUGGUUGAGGUAAUGGCUCACCAAGGCGACGAUCAGUAGCUGGUCUGAGAGGAUGAUCAGCCACAUUGGGACUGAGACACGGCCCAAACUCCUACGGGAGGCAGCAGUGGGGAAUCUUGCGCAAUGGGCGAAAGCCUGACGCAGCCAUGCCGCGUGAAUGAUGAAGGUCUUAGGAUUGUAAAAUUCUUUCACCGGGGACGAUAAUGACGGUACCCGGAGAAGAAGCCCCGGCUAACUUCGUG